rnacentral:rRNA from 1 species
AUUGAACGCUGGCGGCAUGCCUAACACAUGCAAGUCGAACGGCAGCACAGUCUAGUUUACUAGAUGGGUGGCGAGUGGCGCACGGGUGAGUAACGCGUAGGAAUAUACCUUGAAGUGGGGGAUAACUUGGGGAAACUCAAGCUAAUACCGCAUAAGCAAGAAAGAGGAAAGCUGGGGACCGUAAGGCCUGGCGCGUGAAGAUUAGCCUGCGUCUGAUUAGCUAGUUGGUAGGGUAAAGGCCGACCAAGGCGAGGAUCGGUAGCUGGUCUGAGAGGAGGGCCAGCCACACUGGGACUGAGACACGGCCCAGACUCCUACGGGAGGCAGCAGUGGGGAAUAUUGGACAAUGGGGGAAACCCUGAUCCAGCAAUGCCGCGUGUGUGAAGAAGGCCUGAGGGUUGUAAAGCACUUUCAGUGGGGAGGAGGUAUCGAAGGUUAAGAGCUAUUGAUAUGGACGUUACCCACAGAAGAAGCACCGGCUAACUCCGUGCCAGCAGCCGCAGUAAUAC